CUUUGUUGUUAUUAUAUUGUACCUUUGUGAUAAUAUAAUUGGUGUAUUGCCCUUUAGCGAGUGCAACCGUAGGCAACCAAUCAGAACGGUGUAGCGUCACUUGCGAGUGAGUGAGCGCGAAAAACCGGAACGGACCAGUUUGAUGCGGUAAAGACUAGCGACAGACAGAAAAACUUAGUAAUAAGAGGAGAAUAACAAGAGGUAAAAGAGAAUAGAGAAAAGCGAUAACAAAGCAAGGUUUUAAAGAGCAUUGAGCCUCAUUUUUUCCCUUUGUUUUUGGAUUAAUUUGGAUUACUUUAUUUUAACGUUUUAUUGGAGAAUUCUGUGAUACUUUUUUCUAUGCCACGGGACUCUGUUGUUAUUCGGUUGAGAACUCAGUUUUUUUUUAUUAGGAGGAUUCGGUGUUAUUUUUUUCUAUGCCACGGGACUUUUGUUGUUAUUCGUUUGAGGACUCGGACGUUUAUUUUUAUGAGGAGGAGAUCGUUUGGUAGAACAGAACCGAAGAAAAAACAAGAUGGCGAGCUACCCAUAGAAGACGUCAAUCGCGAGCUGUAGCACUCAUGCUGCAGGACCACGCUCCUGUUCUUGGAUAACUGAGGAGUGUGAUUUGCCUACAUUCUCAGCGAAAAGAAGGCGAUGUUUUGUCAAGCCUGAAAGCAGAAGUAAACCUACCACUACCUCAAUCUCCAGAUCACAUGCAGACUGAUGGCAAGGACCCAAGUUAUAGCAAUGAUGAAGUCCCUGCAUUCGUCCCAUCAGGGAGAACAACAGCUAUUUGCAAUAGACGGACACCUUGUCAAUGCAUUCCAAGCCCUGCCGCUGAUGAGGAUUCUCCUGAAGUGCAACACAGGAGUCGCUGGUAGUUGUUUUAUUAUAAGUAGUAUUUGUUCAAGAGUAAAACAAAGCAUCGGACUGAUAUCGGUAUCGGCAUAUAGCCAAAGCUGCGGUUUCGGUAUCAAAAGUGAAAAGUGGUAUCGGGACAAUCCAAUACAAAUAUUGUAGAAAAAUAUUUAAGUUGUUGAUCUAUCUGAUGUCUUUUUUAGUUUAAUUUCGACUUUGAGUAUUUACAUUCAUACUAUUGAUUGAAUUCAUACAAAGACUCACACAGCAGUUCAUACAACACCAACUCUAUGUAGAAUUGCAAACAGGUCAAACAUGAGGGCAUUUGCUCUAACCAGAGCAAGUCACCUGCAUGGUGUCUGUUAUUCCUCCCUUUUCAACAAGUAAACACCUGUCAAUCUGACAUGGCAUGAUCAAGUCUGGCAUGUGAUAGGAGUUGAG
ensembl:lncRNA